AGGAGGAACAACCACAGUGGCGGCGGCCAGCUCUGCAGCCCUGGAUUCAGCCCCCGCAGUAACUCCAGGGCUCUCCGUCUGCAGUAGCCUGGAGGCUCCGGGGCGGG
rfam:Canis lupus familiaris chromosome X, whole genome shotgun sequence.